rnacentral:misc_RNA from 1 species
ACUGUAGUGUAGGUACGCCGAUAUUAUGUACAUAUAUAUGUAAGCGGGUAGAUCUAAAGAUUGUGUCAUUCAUGUCAUUCCGAAUAUACCGUUAACCCAGGACUGCGUGUUUCUUUCCAAUACUCCUAUAUUUCAUUGGCAAACGAGGAUUUGGGAUUUAUUGUGGUUGAGGAGGAACACAAACAUGACAAUUGGCAAGAUUGGCGAGUUUGCCGCGGCGUCGGGCAAUUGGUCACUGUACGUCGAGAGGUUGGAGAUGUACUUCAAAGUGAAUACGAUCGCGGAGGGCUUGUGGCUGCCUACGUUGAUUGCGGUAAUGGGCGAGGACACAUACGAUUUGUUAAGCAACCUGGUUAGUCCUAAGAAGCCGGCGGAAAUGACCUACGCUCAAGUCACCGACGCGUUACGUAAGCACUUACAACCCAAGCGCUCCGUCAUGGCGGAAAGGUACCAUUUUCGUCAACGGCGGCAAAAUAAGGACGAGAGCAUCACUCAGUACAUCGCAGAGUUGAAGAAAUUGGCUAAGCAUUGUGACUUUGAUUCGAGCUUAGAAGACAAUUUACGUGAUCAGUUAGUGUGCGGGUUAAGAAGUGACGUCAUUAGACAACGGUUAUUCGCGGAGGACGGAUUGAAGUACGAUCGGGCCGUGCAGUUAGCGUGUGCGCUAGAGGGAGCGGAACGGGACGCGGCAGCUGUGGACCAGGCGGGGUCAAGCGAGGGUCGGGGCCCGGCGGAGGGCACGGCCGCGGUACACGCCCUGGCGGCAUCGGCGGCGCGCGCGCAGCAGUGGCACGGUCGGCGCAGGGGCGCGGGCGCAGCAGUGGCUCGGCGACCGAGCGGUGCAGCGCUGUGUAACGUGUGCGGGGCGAGCGAUCACGCCAGCACUGAGUGCAGAUUCAAGAAUUUCGUAUGUCGGCUGUGUGGAAAUAAGGGCCAUCUUAAGCGAGCCUGUCCAGAGCGAGCGGGGACGGCUGCGAGAGGGAGAGGUCGCUCGGGCCUGUACAACCUGCGAACGGCGGCGAACGGGAAGGCUACGGAUGGCGGCCAGUCAGAAGAUUCUGAGCUGGAGGGUGAUCUGCAUCAGUUGUGUUUGAACAGCUACAAGCCGGUAAGCAUUAAGUUAUUGGUUGAUAAUGUGGAGAUGACUAUGGAGGUGGACACGGGAGCAGCUGUAGCCUGUAUCAGUAAAAAAACAUAUUUAGAACAUUUCAAACACCGGCCACUUCUUAACUCAGAGGUUGUUUUCAAUGUUUACAAUGGCAUGAAAAUAAGGCCUUUAGGUAUUAUAAAACCACUUGUAAAGUACGAAGGGCAAGAGAAAGCACUAGAGUUGUUUGUGGUAGAAGGCGGAUCGAUUCCGUUACUUGGUCGCCAUUGGCUUGUAGAGUUGAAUAUCAAUAUACCUACUUUAACUAAGAACAAUGAGUUAAGUAACUUUAAGACAGAGUGUACUGAUAUAUCUCUUUUGAUUGGCAGGUAUAAACAGCUAUUCACUGACGGGCUCGGGCGGUUCACGGGCGGUAAGGCGGCGUUGCGCGUGCGCGAGGGGGCCGAGCCGGUGUACUGUCGCGCGCGCCCUCUGCCGUACGCCAUCAAGGACCAAGUGGACGCGCAGCUGGACGAAAUGCUGCGGGAAGGUAUUAUUGAACCUGUAGAUACGUCAGAGUGGGCCACUCCUCUAGUACCCGUUAGGAAACCCGACGGAAGUUUACGUCUAUGUGCUGACUUUAAAAUCACGGUAAACCCUGUUUUAUUGGUAGAUAGGUUUCCGUUGCCUAGGGUGGAUGAUUUACUCGUGGGCCUAAAUGGGGCGCAAAUUUUUUCCAAAAUAGAUCUCUCGCAGGCCUACAAUCAAAUAGAAUUAGACGAUUCAAAAAAAUAUACAGUUAUAAACACUCAUAGGGGUCUAUUUUUAUAUAAUAGGUUAGUGUUCGGUCUAGCGUCGAGUCCUGGCAUUUUUCAACGCAUUAUGUCUAACCUGUUACAUGAUAUUCCAAAUGUGGAGUUUUUCCUUGAUGAUAUUAUAAUAGCCACUAAGACGGAGAAGGAGCACCUCGAUACAUUAGAACGGGUAUUUAGUAGGUUACAUGAGCAUGGCUUGAAGUUAAAAAAGGGAAAUGCCAAUUUAUGCUUGAGGAAGUUAGAUACCUGGGGUAUAUUAUCUCUAAGGAAGGUCUAAAGGUCGAUCCCAGUAAGGUGGAGGCGAUAACGAACAUUCCUAGGCCGAGAGAUGUUAACGAAGUGCGUUCAUUUUUAGGGUUAGUUAAUUUUUAUGCCAAAUUCGUUAAAAACAUUAGUAUGGUAUUGGCCCCUUUAUAUAAUUUGCUAAAAAAAAAUGUAACAUGGGAGUGGGAUAACAGUUGCGAAAACUCCUUCCAUACUAUAAAAAAGUUCUCACUAGCGCCGAUGUACUUAUACAUUAUGAUCCUAGUAAACAGCUGAUUUGUACCUGUGACGCAUCGAGCCGUGGCGUUGGAGGGGUGUUGACCCAACCGGGCGCGGGGGGAGUCGAAAGACCAGUUGCGUACGUAUCUAGGUCAUUAACAGAUGCGGAAAAAAACUACUCUCAGAUUGAUAAGGAAGCGCUUGCUAUUGUGUUUUGUUUACAAAGACUGCAUCAAUACUUGUAUGGGCGACGUUUCAUUUUACGUACGGAUCACAAACCGUUGGUAUUAUUACUCGGUUGAGAUCUGAUGUAAUUAAGUAAGUGUAGUUAUGUAACCGGUAUCUAUCUUAUGCCGAAUUUAGAGUAUAGCUUGUAUAAUGUAACUUCAGUUCCCAAAAGGCUAGUCCUAAGGUUCUUAUUGUUCUUAAUAAGGGUGGAGGUGUAGUGUAGGUACGCCGAUAUUAUGUACAUAUAUAUGUAAGCGGGUAGAUCUAAAGAUUGUGUCAUUCAUGUCAUUCCGAAUAUACCGUUAACCCAGGA